rnacentral:rRNA from 1 species
ACGCUCGACACCUACGGGAGCAGCAGUGAGGAAUAUUGGUCAAUGGGCGCUAGCCUGAACCAGCCAAGUAGCGUGAAGGAUGAAGGCUCUAUGGGUCGUAAACUUCUUUUAUAUAAGAAUAAAGUGCAGUAUGUAUACUGUUUUGUAUGUAUUAUAUGAAUAAGGAUCGGCUAACUCCGUGCCCGCAGCCGCGGUAAUCUGAGCGGGCGUGGCAAGGC